GCCCCAAUAGCUCAGCUGGUUAGAGCGACGGACUGUUAAUCCGCAGGUCCCAGGUUCAAGUCCUGGUUGGGGCGCCA
rnacentral:tRNA from 1 species